rnacentral:rRNA from 1 species
AACGAACGCUGGCGGCAGGCUUAACACAUGCAAGUCGAACGCUCCGCAAGGGGAGUGGCAGACGGGUGAGUAACGCGUGGGAACGUGCCCUAAGGUAUGGAAUAACUUCGGGAAACUGAAGCUAACACCAUAUGUGACCGAGAGGUGAAAGUUUAUCGCCUUAGGAUCGGCCCGCGUCAGAUUAGCUAGUUGGUGGGGUAAUGGCCUACCAAGGCGACGAUCUGUAGCUGUUCUGAGAGGAAGAUCAGCCACACUGGGACUGAGACACGGCCCUGACUCCUACGGGAGGCAGCAGUGGGGAAUCUUGGACAAUGGGCGCAAGCCUGAUCCAGCCAGGCCGCGUGGAUGAUGAAGGCCCUAGGGUUGAAAAAUCCUUUCGUUGGGGACGAUAAUGACGGUACCCAAAGAAGAAGCUCCGGCUAACUUCGUGCCAGCCGCCGCGGUAA